CAGUCGAGCGAGUCUGCCUUGAAGAUCGGAGUGCUUGCACUCUGUGAAACAAGAUACAGGCUAGCGGCGGACGGGUGAGUAACACGUGGGUAACCUGCCCAAGAGAUCGGGAUAACACCUGGAAACAGAUGCUAAUACCGGAUAACAACAGAUGAUGCCUAUCAACUGUUUAAAAGAUGGUUCUGCUAUCACUCUUGGAUGGACCUGCGGUGCAUUAGCUAGUUGGUAGGGUAACGGCCUACCAAGGCGAUGAUGCAUAGCCGAGUUGAGAGACUGAUCGGCCACAUUGGGACUGAGACACGGCCCAAACUCCUACGGGAGGCAGCAGUAGGGAAUCUUCCACAAUGGACGCAAGUCUGAUGGAGCAACGCCGCGUGAGUGAAGAAGGGUUUCGACUCGUAAAGCUCUGUUGUUGGUGAAGAAGGACGGGGGUAGUAACUGACCUUUGUUUGACGGUAAUCAAUUAGAAAGUCACGGCUAACUACGUGCCAGCAGCCGCGGUAAUACGUAGGUGGCAAGCGUUGUCCGGAUUUAUUGGGCGUAAAGCGAGUGCAGGCGGUUCGAUAAGUCUGAUGUGAAAGCCUUCGGCUCAACCGGAGAAUUGCAUCAGAAACUGUCGAGCUUGAGUACAGAAGAGGAGAGUGGAACUCCAUGUGUAGCGGUGAAAUGCGUAGAUGUAUGGAAGAACACCGGUGGCGAAGGCGGCUCUCUGGUCUGUUACUGACGCUGAGGCUCGAAAGCAUGGGUAGCGAACAGGAUUAGAUACCCUGGUAGUCCAUGCCGUAAACGAUGAGUGCUAAGUGUUGGGAGGUUUCCGCCUCUCAGUGCUGCAGCUAACGCAUUAAG
rnacentral:rRNA from 1 species